AGUAGUGUGGCUCAGUGGAAAGAGCAUGGGCUUGGGAGUCAGAGGUCAUGGGUUCGAAUCCCAGCUCUGCCA
rnacentral:tRNA from 1 species